AGCGAACGCUGGCGGCAGGCUUAACACAUGCAAGUCGAGCGGGCGUAGCAAUACGUCCGCGGCAGACGGGUGAGUAACGCGUGGGAACGUACCUUUUGGUUCGGAACAACACAGGGAAACUUGUGCUAAUACCGGAUAAGCCCUUACGGAGAAAGAUUUAUCGCCGAAAGAUCGGCCCGCGUCUGAUUAGCUAGUUGGUGAGGUAACGGCUCACCAAGGCGACGAUCAGUAGCUGGUCUGAGAGGAUGAUCAGCCACAUUGGGACUGAGACACGGCCCAAACUCCUACGGGAGGCAGCAGUGGGGAAUAUUGGACAAUGGGGGCAACCCUGAUCCAGCCAUGCCGCGUGAGUGAUGAAGGCCCUAGGGUUGUAAAGCUCUUUUGUGCGGGAAGAUAAUGACGGUACCGCAAGAAUAAGCCCCGGCUAACUUCGUG
rnacentral:rRNA from 1 species